UAUGCUUUAGUAUAAGAUGUACAGGAAUUUUUGGUAUUUCAGGGGAUAGUUUGAUUCUGUCAAGUGUAA
rnacentral:tRNA from 1 species